CCUACGGGAGGCAGCAGUGGGGAAUCUUGCACAAUGGAGGAAACUCUGAUGCAGCGACGCCGCGUGAGCGAUGAAGCCCUUCGGGGUGUAAAGCUCUUUCGGCAGGGACGAUAAUGACGGUACCUGAAGAAGAAGCUGCGGCUAACUACGUGCCAGCAGCCGCGGUAAU
rnacentral:rRNA from 1 species